UUUGUCCCUCCAUCUCUCAGACACUCACUCUUGCAAGGAUUAGCUGUGUGGCCAUUUCCUGUUUUCUGCAUUUCUUCCCCUCCACCCACCACAUUGUAGCUGGACUGAGGUGGAACUCUACUUUCUUUAAUCAUGUCAUAUAUAAAAGAAUCUCUCUAUAUCUGAAGUCAUCCCUCCCCCUUCCUUUUCCCUUUUUUCCCCAGCUGCACCUACUAACUUUACAUGCCCACAUAAACCACUGAAAUGUAUGGCUGGAAGACUUUGAGUACAGAAAUAGGUUUCACACCAUUUCUUUUUAUUAGUUUUAUAACAUCAUUUCAUCUUUUUCUUUUUUUUUCUUUUCUUUUCUUUUUACAGGUUUCCUCAGGAUUAUAGACAAAUGGACUCCUGUAAGGAAAAUUAAAAUUUCUAGCAUAAUUUACUUACAUAUGACCCAAUUUUUGCAAAAAAAAAAAAAAAAAAAAAAAAAAAAACCCAUUUCUUUUUUUUUUUGAGGAUAAAUCAAAUGUCAAUAUUUGGAAAAUACAUCAUUCAUUCUAAAAGAAAUGUCUUCUAUUUAUUUCCAUGGAGAAUGCAACAGAUACAAAGAGCACAAUAGCACUAUUUGAUUGAGCAGAUCCUCAGCUACAAAACGCUAGCUUUCAACAUAGUCACCACUAUUAGAUAUGCAUUUUGACCAGCAGUCAACAAGAGCCUGCAUGCUACACUCAAAAAGUCUGCACCAGUGGAGAUAGAUACUGCCACUGGCACCAAUGAAGAAACACACCACCCUCCACUUCACUGUGCUCACAUCCACUGGUUGGUAUGCAGAAACACUGAGAAACCAUCAGCAGAUGUCAAUGGGUGCCUUUUUUUCUGCAUGGAGGAAUUCUGUGACCCACCUUUGCUCCACACACACUUCCAUGUCAGACGCCAUUCUGUCAGACUGCCCCUCUGCUGCCAUCUGUUGUAUGGCAACAACAUAUAAUGGGAUAUUGGUGGGAAGGUUCAACCUAUGCUGCUGUAUCGCCAAUAUCUGCCACUGACGUUGUGAGCUCAUAAAACAGGAGGUACUACUUUUGGACCAGCCCUCGUGUAAUGUAGAUAAAAUGUAAGGCAGAUUAAGCCUCAAUAAAAUGCCACUCAAAAGUU
ensembl:lncRNA